rnacentral:rRNA from 1 species
CAACCGCGGUAUUGCCUCAGUAACGGCGAGUGAAGCGGCAAGAGCUCAAAUUUGAAAGCUGGCCCCUUCGGGGUCCGCGUUGUAAUUUGCAGAGGAUGCUUCGGGUGCGGCCCCUGUCUAAGUGCCCUGGAACGGGCCGUCAGAGAGGGUGAGAAUCCCGUCUUGGGCAGGGUGCCCGUGCCCGUGUGAAGCUCCUUCGACGAGUCGAGUUGUUUGGGAAUGCAGCUCUAAAUGGGUGGUAAAUUUCAUCUAAAGCUAAAUACCGGCCGGAGACCGAUAGCGCACAAGUAGAGUGAUCGAAAGAUGAAAAGCACUUUGAAAAGAGAGUUAAACAGCACGUGAAAUUGUUGAAAGGGAAGCGCUUGCGACCAGACUCGGCCCCGGGGUUCAGCCAGCACUCGUGCUGGUGUACUUCCCCGGGGGCGGGCCAGCGUCGGUUUGGGCGGCCGGUCAAAGGCCCCAGGAAUGUAUCGCCCUCCGGGGUUGUCUUAUAGCCUGGGGUGCAAUGCGGCCAGCCCGGACCGAGGAACGCGCUUCGGCACGGACGCUGGCGUAAUGGUCGCAAACGACCCGUCUUGAAACACGGACCAAGGAGUCUAACAUCUACGCGAGUGUUCGGGUGUCAAACCCGUACGCGCAGUGAAAGCGAACGGAGGUGGGAGCCCCCCCGGGGCGCACCAUCGACCGAUCCUGAUGUCUUCGGAUGGAUUUGAGUAAGAGCGUAGCUGUGGGGACCCGAAAGAUGGUGAACUAUGCCUGAAUAGGGCGAAGCCAGAGGAAACUCUGGUGGAGGCUCGCAGCGGUUCUGACGUGCAAAUCGAUCGUCAAAUUUGGGUAUAGGGGCGAAAGACUAAUCGAACCAUCUGGUAGCUGGUUCCUGCCGAAGCUUUCCCUCAGGAUAGCAGUAACCGCGAAUCAGUUUUAUGAGGUCAAAGCGAAUCGAUUAAAAGGCAUUGGGGGUGGAAACCACCCUUAACUUAUUCUC